rfam:Ixodes scapularis strain Wikel colony gcontig_1107728845288, whole genome shotgun sequence.
CCCUGGUUAGCUCAGUUGGUAGAGCGCUCCACCUGUAAUGGAGAGGUCUCGGGUUCGAUACCCGGACCAGGCG